CAUGCCUGGGGUGCAGGAGAGAAGAAAGACUAUUUAGUGAAGUAGGCUAAUGGUGGUGGGGAGGAAGGGGGCUGAUUUUCACAUCUCAGAACUGUUAAGCCUGCAAAUAUUACUGAAAUCACAUCUGGGAACAAAGCUCUGCUUUAAGUAAGUUCACCCAUGAGUGUUGCUAAGCAAUGGAGAAGAGACGAGGGAGCAGGAGAGUGCCUGACUUUAGGAUUAGGAGGAUGGAUAGAACACAAAGAGAGGUGCUGCGUCCUGGAGCACUGGCACAAACGUUUGCGCACGAGAACUGCCAACAUCUGUCUCUGGAUUUAACAGAGUGACCAGAAGAGCUGAUGAAUGAGAAGGCAAAAAUUACAGGUUUUGGAGACCUUUGAACAAAAGUCAUUUAAUCCACAGGAAAUUAAGAUCAUAUCUGAAAAGAGUCCUUGAUUUGA